AUGAAAAGUGUGAGUUCCAACAGAAAAUCAAGUCCUCUAUUCUUUUGUUUUCAUAUUGAUUUUUGGAGCUUUACCAACAAUUGUCGUCAAAAAGGGGAGCAGCCCUUGUAGGUUGUGGGGCUGAGAAGGAAGCCUUAAAUUGGAAUGAAAGAAAGUUUGGAAGCAGGAGGUGGAAUCGCAAUCAGAAAAUUCAUUAGCAGGUUUAUUUUUUUAUUGAUUAGUGGCAGAAAAUUUUUGUAAUUGUGGGUGUUCGCCGAUUUGAGUAUUAAAGAAAGUGAAGUGAAAGAAGGUAGUGGGUACAUGCAUGAGAAUUAAAUCUCACAGCCCAUCAAUUUAAAAAGAAAGAAGAACGGCAAGAUAGAAAGCUGGUUUAUUAGAUCAGCAAGAAAGAGAAAUAAAGAAGGUCGUAGCUGCGCCGCGAGAAAGAGAAAGAAGACGGUGGCGGUUGCCAAACAGACCGAAACAAAGUAAGACCAAGGAAGACCGUCGCCUCGCCUGAAGAAAGCAUCGACGAUUGCAAGAUCGUCGCCGGCAAGAAGAGAACUGAAGCCGUGAUAGACCGAACGGCGUGACCGAGACUGAAUCGGUUCUCCUUGCCAAGACGGUAGACCGAAUAAAGCUUAUCUUGAAGAAAGCUUAGACCGAAAGACCAAGCAAUAGACCGAAACUGUGAACCAGAGACCGAGACCGAAAGCGUUCACAUCAGACCGAGAUAGAAGGAGACAACCGUGACCGGCAGUUUUGAAAGAAAGGAAAAAAGAAAGAAAAGACCGAAUCGACUAGAAAGAAAGAAAGAGUCG
rnacentral:lncRNA from 1 species